UACGGAGGUUGCAAGCGUUAUCCGGAUUCACUGGGUUUAAAGGGUGCGUAGGCGGGUAGGUAAGUCAGAGGUGAAAUCCUGGAGCUUAACUCCAGAACUGCCUUUGAUACUAUCUAUCUUGAAUAUGGUGGAGGUAAGCGGAAUAUGUCAUGUAGCGGUGAAAUGCAUAGAUAUGACAUAGAACACCUAUUGCGAAGGCAGCUUACUACGCCUAUAUUGACGCUGAGGCACGAAAGCGUGGGGAUCAAACAGG
rnacentral:rRNA from 1 species